rnacentral:rRNA from 1 species
UAAGGAAUAUUGGUCAAUGGACGAGAGUCUGAACCAGCCAUGCCGCGUGAAGGAUGAAGGUCCUCAGGAUUGUAAACUUCUUUUAUCUGGGACGAAAAAAGGCUUUUUUAAGUCGCUUGACGGUACCAGAGGAAUAAGCACCGGCUAACUCCGUGCCAGCAGCCGCGGUAAUACGGAGGGUGCAAGCGUUAUCCGGAUUCACUGGGUUUAAAGGGUGCGUAGGCGGGUAGGUAAGUCAGUGGUGAAAUCUUCGGGCUUAACCCGGAAAUUGCCGUUGAUACUAUCUAUCUUGAAUAUCGUUGAGGUUUGCGGAAUAUGUCAUGUAGCGGUGAAAUGCUUAGAGAUGACAUAGAACACCUAUUGCGAAGGCAGCAGGCUAAACGAAGAUUGACGCUGAGGCACGAAAGCGUGGGGAUCAAACAG